CGUUGUUGGGUAGGGGAGCGUUCUGUAAGCCUGUGAAGGUGUACUGUGAGGUAUGCUGGAGGUAUCAGAAGUGCGAAUGCUGACAUAAGUAACGAUAAAGCGGGUGAAAAGCCCGCUCGCCGGAAGACCAAGGGUUCCUGUCCAACGUUAAUCGGGGCAGGGUGAGUCGACCCCUAAGGCGAGGCCGAAAGGCGUAGUCGAUGGAAAACAGGUUAAUAUUCCUGUACUUGGUGUUACUGCGAAGGGGGGACGGAGAAGGCUAUGUUGGCCGGGCGACGGUUGUCCCGGUUUAAGCGUGUAGGCUGGUUUUCCAGGCAAAUCCGGAAAAUCAAGGCUGAGGCGUGAUGACGAGGCACUACGGUGCUGAAGCAACAAAUGCCCUGCUUCCAGGAAAAGCCUCUAAGCAUCAGGUAACAUCAAAUCGUACCCCAAACCGACACAGGUGGUCAGGUAGAGAAUACCAAGGCGCUUGAGAGAACUCGGGUGAAGGAACUAGGCAAAAUGGUGCCGUAACUUCGGGAGAAGGCACGCUGAUAUGUAGGUGAAGCGACUUGCUCGUGGAGCUGAAAUCAGUCGAAGAUACCAGCUGGCUGCAACUGUUUAUUAAAAACACAGCACUGUGCAAACACGAAAGUGGACGUAUACGGUGUGACGCCUGCCCGGUGC
rnacentral:rRNA from 1 species